GAACCAAAAAGUCUCCCUUUCAUGUUGAAAUAUGUGUACACUGCAGACUGCAAGCGUGCUCUCUCUCUCUCUCUCUCUCUCUCUCUCUCUCUCUUUCUCUCUGAAAACCCACUAACAGCAUUACUUCACUUUAAUACACUGCUAGUCUCUCCCUCUCUCUCUCUUUAGGGUUUAAUGCCAAUGGCUUCGUUGCUUUCGUGCUGGGGUCACUUCUUCGGAGAUGUGUUUCUCUCAGGAGGUCCUCACAAGACGGCGAUAUUACCAAGAACCAGUCCGAGGGCAUCUCCCAGGUUUCGGAUCAGAAAUGUCGAAUGCAAACCUUUCUCCUGAGGUAUCUUCGGUAUCGAUGGAUUGAUAUGGGGGUUGGGGGGUAGGGAAUGAAGCCAUUGGUCCGUGUUUGUAGGGUAGAUGUAUAAAAUUUCGAUGUCUAUCUUCUCAUCUCUGUGGAAAUUAUUUGGAUCACCGACCGCUAAUCCUUUCUUAAUCUUAUUCAGAUACUUUUUCUGUUA